rnacentral:rRNA from 1 species
UACGUAGGGACCGAGCGUUGUCCGGAUUCAUUGGGCGUAAAGAGCUCGUAGGCGGCUGUUCAAGUCGAACGUGAAAACUCGGGGCUCAACUCCGAGCCUGCGUUCGAUACUGGAUGGCUAGAGUCUGGUAGGGGGAUCUGGAAUUCCUGGUGUAGCGGUGAAAUGCGCAGAUAUCAGGAAGAACACCCGUGGCUAAGGCGGCUCUCUAGUACGGUACUGACGCUGAGACGCGAAAGCGUGGGGAGCGAACAGG